rnacentral:rRNA from 1 species
GGGUUGUGAGGUUAAGCGACUAAGCGUACACGGUGGAUGCCCUGGCAGUCAGAGGCGAUGAAGGACGUGCUAAUCUGCGAUAAGCGUCGGUGAGGUGAUAUGAACCGUUAUAACCGGCGAUUUCCGAAUGGGGAAACCCAGUGUGUUUCGACACACUAUCAUUAACUGAAUCCAUAGGUUAAUGAGGCGAACCGGGGGAACUGAAACAUCUAAGUACCCGAGGAAAAGAAAUCAACCGAGAUUCCCCAGUAGCGGCGAGCGAACGGGGAGGAGCCCAGAGCCUGAAUCAGUGUGUGUGUUAGUGGAAGCGUCUGGAAAGGCGCGCGAUACAGGGUGACAGCCCCGUACACAAAAAUGCACAUAUUGUGAGCUCGAUGAGUAGGGCGGGACACGUGGUAUCCUGUCUGAAUAUGGGGGACCAUCCUCCAAGGCUAAAUACUCCUGACUGACCGAUAGUGAACCAGUACCGUGAGGGAAAGGCGAAAAGAACCCCGGCGAGGGGAGUGAAAAAGAACCUGAAACCGUGUACGUACAAGCAGUGGGAGCCUCUUAAUGGGGUGACUGCGUACCUUUUGUAUAAUGGGUCAGCGACUUAUAUUCUGUAGCAAGGUUAACCGAAUAGGGGAGCCGAAGGGAAACCGAGUCUUAACUGGGCGUUAAGUUGCAGGGUAUAGACCCGAAACCCGGUGAUCUAGCCAUGGGCAGGUUGAAGGUUGGGUAACACUAACUGGAGGACCGAACCGACUAAUGUUGAAAAAUUAGCGGAUGACUUGUGGCUGGGGGUGAAAGGCCAAUCAAACCGGGAGAUAGCUGGUUCUCCCCGAAAGCUAUUUAGGUAGCGCCUCGUGAAUUCAUCUCCGGGGGUAGAGCACUGUUUCGGCAAGGGGGUCAUCCCGACUUACCAACCCGAUGCAAACUGCGAAUACCGGAGAAUGUUAUCACGGGAGACACACGGCGGGUGCUAACGUCCGUCGUGAAGAGGGAAACAACCCAGACCGCCAGCUAAGGUCCCAAAGUCAUGGUUAAGUGGGAAACGAUGUGGGAAGGCCCAGACAGCCAGGAUGUUGGCUUAGAAGCAGCCAUCAUUUAAAGAAAGCGUAAUAGCUCACUGGUCGAGUCGGCCUGCGCGGAAGAUGUAACGGGGCUAAACCAUGCACCGAAGCUGCGGCAGCGACACUAUGUGUUGUUGGGUAGGGGAGCGUUCUGUAAGCCUGUGAAGGUGGCCUGUGAGGGUUGCUGGAGGUAUCAGAAGUGCGAAUGCUGACAUAAGUAACGAUAAAGCGGGUGAAAAGCCCGCUCGCCGGAAGACCAAGGGUUCCUGUCCAACGUUAAUCGGGGCAGGGUGAGUCGACCCCUAAGGCGAGGCCGAAAGGCGUAGUCGAUGGGAAACAGGUUAAUAUUCCUGUACUUGGUGUUACUGCGAAGGGGGACGGAGAAGGCUAUGUUGGCCGGGCGACGGUUGUCCCGGUUUAAGCGUGUAGGCUGGUUUUCCAGGCAAAUCCGGAAAACCAAGGCUGAGGCGUGAUGACGAGGCACUACGGUGCUGAAGCGACAAAUGCCCUGCUUCCAGGAAAAGCCUCUAAGCAUCAGGUAACAUCAAAUCGUACCCCAAACCGACACAGGUGGUCAGGUAGAGAAUACCAAGGCGCUUGAGAGAACUCGGGUGAAGGAACUAGGCAAAAUGGUGCCGUAACUUCGGGAGAAGGCACGCUGAUAUGUAGGUGAAGCGACUUGCUCGUGGAGCUGAAAUCAGUCGAAGAUACCAGCUGGCUGCAACUGUUUAUUAAAAACACAGCACUGUGCAAACACGAAAGUGGACGUAUACGGUGUGACGCCUGCCCGGUGCCGGAAGGUUAAUUGAUGGGGUUAGCGGUAACGCGAAGCUCUUGAUCGAAGCCCCGGUAAACGGCGGCCGUAACUAUAACGGUCCUAAGGUAGCGAAAUUCCUUGUCGGGUAAGUUCCGACCUGCACGAAUGGCGUAAUGAUGGCCAGGCUGUCUCCACCCGAGACUCAGUGAAAUUGAACUCGCUGUGAAGAUGCAGUGUACCCGCGGCAAGACGGAAAGACCCCGUGAACCUUUACUAUAGCUUGACACUGAACAUUGAGCCUUGAUGUGUAGGAUAGGUGGGAGGCUUUGAAGUGUGGACGCCAGUCUGCAUGGAGCCGACCUUGAAAUACCACCCUUUAAUGUUUGAUGUUCUAACGUGGGCCCCUAAUCGGGGUUGCGGACAGUGUCUGGUGGGUAGUUUGACUGGGGCGGUCUCCUCCUAAAGAGUAACGGAGGAGCACGAAGGUUGGCUAAUCCUGGUCGGACAUCAGGAGGUUAGUGCAAUGGCAUAAGCCAGCUUGACUGCGAGCGUGACGGCGCGAGCAGGUGCGAAAGCAGGUCAUAGUGAUCCGGUGGUUCUGAAUGGAAGGGCCAUCGCUCAACGGAUAAAAGGUACUCCGGGGAUAACAGGCUGAUACCGCCCAAGAGUUCAUAUCGACGGCGGUGUUUGGCACCUCGAUGUCGGCUCAUCACAUCCUGGGGCUGAAGUAGGUCCCAAGGGUAUGGCUGUUCGCCAUUUAAAGUGGUACGCGAGCUGGGUUUAGAACGUCGUGAGACAGUUCGGUCCCUAUCUGCCGUGGGCGCUGGAGAACUGAGGGGGCUGCUCCUAGUACGAGAGGACCGGAGUGGACGCAUCACUGGUGUUCGGGUUGUCAUGCCAAUGGCACUGCCCGGUAGCUAAAUGCGGAAGAGAUAAGUGCUGAAAGCAUCUAAGCACGAAACUUGCCCCGAGAUGAGUUCUCCCUGAGACUUAGAGUCUCCUGAAGGAACGUUGAAGACGACGACGUUGAUAGGCCGGGUGUGUAAGCGCAGCGAUGCGUUGAGCUAACCGGUACUAAUGAACCGUGAGGCUUAACCUUACAACGCCGAAG